GUAGGUGGCAAGCGUUGUCCGGAAUUAUUGGGCGUAAAGCGCGCGCAGGCGGUUCUUUAAGUCUGAUGUGAAAGCCCACGGGCUCAACCGUGGAGGGUCAUUGGAAACUGGAGGACUUGAGUACAGAAGAGGAAAGCGGAAUUCCACGUGUAGCGGUGAAAUGCGUAGAGAUGUGGAGGAACACCAGUGGCGAAGGCGGCUUUCUGGUCUGUAACUGACGCUGAGGCGCGAAAGCGUGGGGAGCAAACAGGAUUAGAUACCCUGGUAGUCCACGCCGUAAACGGUGAGUGCUAAGUGUUAGGGGGUUUCCGCCCCUUAGUGCUGCAGCUAACGCAUUAAGCGCUCCGCCUGGGGAGUACGGCCGCAAAGGCUG
rnacentral:rRNA from 1 species